GACAGAGGAUGCAAGCGUUAUCCGGAAUGAUUGGGCGUAAAGCGUCUGUAGGUGGCUUUUAAGUCCGUCCGUCAAAUCCCAGGGCUCAACCCGUGGACAGGCGGUGGAAACUACCAAGCUGGAGUACGGUAGGGGCAGAGGGAAUUUCCGGUGGAGGCGGUGGAAAUGCGUAGAGAUACGGAAAGAACACCAACGGGCGAAA
rnacentral:rRNA from 1 species